CCUAAGUGCAACCAUGAGUUUACGUGUUCAAUUUUAGUCGUCCAUCUUAUUUGAAUUUUUUUUUGUAAUUAGUAUUUUUUGUUGUUAUGAGAUGAUAAAACAUGAAUAGCACUUUUGUGUGACUUAUGUUUUUAUUUUUUUAAAAAAAAUCAAAUAAGACGGACGAUCAAAGUUGGACACGGAUACUCAUGCUUGCACUUAAA
rfam:Oryza meridionalis cultivar OR44 (W2112) chromosome 2, whole genome shotgun sequence.